CCAGUGAACUGAAACAUCUUAGUAGCUGGAGGAAAAGAAAGAAAAAUCGAUUCCGUAAGUAGUGGCGAGCGAAAGCGGAAGAGCCCAAACUAGACUUAGGUCUAGGGUUGUAGGACAUUCAAUACGGAGAAAAAAGGUACAUUAUAGUUGAAUUACUUGGAAAGGUAAACUAAAGAGGGUGAAAGUCCCGUAAACGAAAUAAUGUGCACUCUAGAGUGAAUCCUGAGUACGGCGAGGCACGUGAAACCUUGUCGGAAGCAGCGGGGACCAUCCCGCAAGGCUAAAUACUCUCUAAUGACCGAUAGUGAACAAGUACCGUGAGGGAAAGGUGAAAAGAACCCCGGGAGGGGAGUGAAAUAGAAACUGAAACCGUAUGCUUACAAAAAGUUCGAGCCCGUUAAAGGGUGAGAGCGUGCCUUUUGCAGAAUGAACCGGCGAGUUAUCGUAUAAUGCAAGGUUAAGUUGGAAAGACGGAGCCGAAGGGAAACCGAGUUUUAAUAGAGCGAAUAAGUAUUAUGCGAUAGACCCGAAACCGAGUGAUCUAGCCAUGAGCAGGAUGAAGUAGUAGUAAAAUACUAUGGAGGACCGAACCGACGUACCCGGAAACGUGCGCGGAUGACUUGUGGUUAGCGGAGAAAUUCCAAUCGAACUCGGAGAUAGCUGGUUCUCCCCGAAAUAGGUUUAGGCCUAGCCUUGAUGGAAGGAUAGUGGAGGUAGAGCACUGAAUGUGUGAUGGCGUCGUCUAGAUGUACUGAGCACAAUCAAACUCCGAAUGCCAUUAUUACGUAAUCAGGAGUCAGUGUAUGGGUGAUAACGUCCAUACGCGAAAGGAAAAGAAUCCAGAUCGCCAGCUAAGGUCCCAAAAGUUGUGUUAAGUGGGAAAGGAUGUAGAGUUGUAGAAACAGCUAGGAGGUUGGCUUAGAAGCAGCCAUCCUUUAAAGAGUGCGUAAUAGCUCACUAGUCGAGUGACACUGCGCCGAAGAUGUACCGGGGCUAAACACAAUACCGAAGCUGCGGAUUCAUGCGUAAGCAUGAGUGGUAGGGGAGCGUUCUAAAUGCGUAGAAGAUAUACCGUGAGGAGUGUUGGAGCGUUUAGAAGUGAGAAUGCCGGUGUGAGUAACGAAAAAUGGGUGGAAAUCCCAUUCACCGAUUGACUAAGGUUUCCUGGGUAAAGUUCGUCUUCCCAGGGUAAGUCAGGACCUAAGACGAGGCCGAAAGGCGUAGUCGAUGGACAAUAGGUAAUUAUUCCUAUACCACCUAUAUAACUGAAGGAGUGACGAAGGAGGCUAACAUGAGCCGGUUAACGGAUUCCGGUCUAAGCACAAAGGCUGGUACACAGUGAAAUGCGUGAUAUCGUGUGGCUGAAGUGUUAUGGGGAAGCGACGGUUUCGAUCGAAGCGAACUCGUGUGACGCCAAACUUCCAAGAAAAGCUUCUAGGGCUAAUUAUAUAGGUGCCUGUACCGACAACCGACACAGGUGGUCAAGGAGAGAAUCCUAAGGUGAGCGAGAGAACUAUGGUUAAGGAACUCGGCAAAAUGACCCCGUAACUUCGGGAGAAGGGGUGGUCAAGCAAAAAAUACAGCAAUGUAGGAAAGUGUAUUGACCCGCAGUGAAUAGGUCCAGGCAACUGUUUACCAAAAACACAGGUUUCUGCAAACACGAAAGUGGAAGUAUAGGAGCUGACGCCUGCCCAGUGCUGGAAGGUUAAGGUAAGAUGUGAAUCCUACGGGAGGCAGCAUUGAACUGAAGCCCCAGUGAACGGCGGCCGUAACUAUAACGGUCCUAAGGUAGCGAAAUUCCUUGUCAGGUAAGUUCUGACCCGCACGAAAGGCGUAAUGAUCUGGAUACUGUCUCAACCAUAGACUCGGUGAAAUCUUAAUACCUGUGAAAAUGCAGGUUACCCGCGACAGGACGGAAAGACCCCAUGGAGCUUUACUGUAGCUUGAUAUUGAGAUUCGAUAUGUUAUGUAGAGGAUAGGUGGGAGACGUUGAUACUAGGACGCCAGUUCUAGUGGAGUCAACCUUGGAAUACCACCCUUAAUAUGUUGAAUUUCUAACCUAGGUCCAUUGUCUGGAUCAGGGACAGUGUCUGGU
rnacentral:rRNA from 1 species